rnacentral:rRNA from 1 species
AGUGAACGCUGGCGGUAGGCCUAACACAUGCAAGUCGAACGGCAGCACAGUAAGAGCUUGCUCUUACGGGUGGCGAGUGGCGGACGGGUGAGGAAUACAUCGGAAUCUACUUUUUCGUGGGGGAUAACGUAGGGAAACUUACGCUAAUACCGCAUACGACCUACGGGUGAAAGCAGGGGAUCUUCGGACCUUGCGCGAUUGAAUGAGCCGAUGUCGGAUUAGCUAGUUGGCGGGGUAAAGGCCCACCAAGGCGACGAUCCGUAGCUGGUCUGAGAGGAUGAUCAGCCACACUGUAACUGAGACACGGUCCAGACUCCUACGGGAGGCAACAGUGGGGAAUAUUGUACAAUGGGCGCAAGCCUGAUCCAGCCAUACCGCGUGGGUGAAGAAGGCCUUCGGGUUGUAAAGCCCUUUUGUUGGGAAAGAAAAGCAGCAGGUUAAUACCCCGCUGUUCUGACGGUACCCAAAGAAUAAGCACCGGCUAACUUCGUG